AGUUUGUUUACUACGUGAUUUUUCGUAAAUAAAUGAAGGAUUUCAACCCAAAAUACCUCUGAAGUACAGCACGAAUUUCCGCUGAUCUGGCAAAUCCUAGUAACGCCAGGCUCGAGCCUUCGUCGGAGAAUUUUCACCGGAAAAUGAAAAUCUUUUCGUAAUUAGUAAUUGAAAUUGUACACAGAGGAUACUAUUGGGGACAAUGGCGUUGUGAAAAACAGUUUUAAAGCUGAUUGGAUAACAGAAACUGCUGGACGAAUUCAACAAUACUAUCGUGGUUGAUCUGAACUAGCCUUCAUCCUCCGAGGUUGGAAUGUCUAACAGAACUUGGGUGCCACUACAAAAAGGGUAUUACAAAUUAAACACAGAUGAUCCUGGAUUGCUAUGGAUAAUGCAGGUGGAGGAAGGGUGAUUAGAUGUGACAAAGAUCUUUGGGAAAUUGCCUACUCGCUCAAUUUCAAGAAAAUAGGUGCUGCUAUUGCCAAGCUACUAGCCAUUAGAGAAAGCUUGUCUACUGCCUGGGAGAGAAAUAUUGAGCUCAAAACUGACGCUUAGGCCUUGAAAUACAUGCUCGAAAACGAGGCAGCCUACAUGGACCACGAUUUGGGAGCAUUGAUUAAGGACAUGUCGGCUUUGCUUUGAAGAGAAUGGCAGGUUACCCUUCUCCAUGCCAAGCAAUUGGCUAAUGCUCUUGCUCAUGGCCUAGCAAAUAUGAGUAGGACGCAAGUAGAGGAGAGGCUCUAUCACUUUGCUCCACCAAGUGAUCUGGUCUAGUGGUCUCUGUCUAUACUCAGGACCUUAUCAAGGCUGUUUCCCUAAUCUCAGAACUUAAUGCUCUUUGUAACUAUAGCAGGGGAGGGUGUAUUACUCCAGCAUUUUGGCUUGUUAUGGUUUAGGCUGUGUAGUAGAAAGACUAGAAACAACCAAUUUUCGCUUUACUUUUAACUAUGUUUAUGUAAUGUUGUACUCAAGACCAAGGGGUUUAUCAUCUUUGAUACUAUGCUUUCCUUCUCUAUUUUUUUUUUUCUUUUUUUGUUGGAAUUACCACAUUAUUUACUGGAUGAGAAGAAGAAUAAACUUUCUAGUUGUUAGCUGCAGCCUGCAAAGACAUGAAACUCUACUUUCUGGGACCAAUGGACCAUACUUAUCAUUUCAUGUGAAUGUAAUGCAUCUUUUUUUCAAAGAUAAAAUACAAGUUUAUCAUCUUUGAUAAAUCAAUUUUGUUUAUCAAAUGACAAAGUUGUAAAUAAAUCAUCAACUUUUUAUUAAAUAUGGGCCAUGCACUUGUUGAUAUCCCAAUACCUUUUCGAGCUCUUAUUGUUAAAUUGUGACUCGAGAUCUAGUUGGGCUGACUUUAAAUGCAGAUAUCUCUCAAACUAUA